rnacentral:rRNA from 1 species
ACCCGCACAAGCGGUGGAUUAUGUGGAUUAAUUCGAUGCAACGCGAAGAACCUUACCUACCCUUGACAUGCCAGGAACCUCGCAGAGAUGUGAGGGUGCCCGAAAGGGAACCUGGACACAGGUGCUGCAUGGCUGUCGUCAGCUCGUGUCGUGAGAUGUUGGGUUAAGUCCCGCAACGAGCGCAACCCUUGCCAUUAGUUGCUACAUUCAGUUGGGCACUCUAAUGGGACUGCCGGUGACAAACCGGAGGAAGGUGGGGAUGACGUCAAGUCCUCAUGGCCCUUAUGGGUAGGGCUUCACACGUAAUACAAUGGCGCAUACAGAGGGCUGCAAACCCGCGAGGGGAGCUAAUCCCAAAAAGUGCGUCGUAGUCCGGAUUGCUCUCUGCAACUCGAGAGCAUGAAGUUGGAAUCGCUAGUAAUCGCGGAUCAGCAUGUCGCGGUGAAUACGUUCCCGGGUCUU